AAUAGGGCUUACACCAGGCCCAGUUGUUGGUACUGUCGUAACUGCAUGUUUGACUGUUGGGACAAGUGGCCUGAAUCUCCUAUUUUAGUCCACUUCCACGGUUGGCACAGACAAGUAUAUGUGGACUCCGGUUGAUUCAAGGUUUUGCAAUUAGCCAUCUACCAUACAGCAAGGGAGUAUACAAUUACAAACCGCUCCCGAUUGCUGCUGCUGCAGGCAACACGUGAAGAUCUAUGGCUUCCCAGGUUCGAACUCCAUGGCCAAGUCACUAUCAGGAGCGACCACAGGAGAGGCAGCGGCCAAACUGGCAAUGACAAGGACUAGAGAGACAAGAGUGAUCUUCAUUCUGUCAGUAAAAGAUGAACUUGAGGAAUAAAAGAUGAUAUAUGGAAAUUGUUGAUGGUUAUUUUGGCAAACUGAAGAAAGUGAUGAUGAAUUAUAAUUUUAAAAAAGA
rnacentral:sRNA from 1 species